AUAUGGCAGCUUGUUUGGUGGGUAGAGGAUUUAUACUAUUAGAGGUCCUUUGGAAGAGUAUUCACUCAAUUUUUAAUUUCUUUACGUUAAUUAUUAGCAUUUGAAUUGAUAACCAGAGCUUCUUAUGGAAAUUAUUUAGUUUUUCAUUCCUUUACUCAUCAAUAUUUUGACCCUUUUUUGUUUUUUGUCUCAAUUUUGUUCGUUCGUUGGUAGGCUUAUCUAGAUCACGAUCUUAACAGUUGGAUUGUUCAGUAUAUGAAUUUUAGUAUUGUUUGGAUUGGUGGGCAUGAUUUAGAUUUUGAUAAAUUUGCUUGAAUUUUGCAAAAUUGAUAUGUUUAUUGACCUUUUCUUUGGCAAUUUUGUUGUGUCCAAUUCAUUAAAUUGCCACAAAAAUGAAAUUUGUGGGAAUUCUUCUGAAUUAUUGUUCAAUUGGUCAAUUGGGUCAGCGUUGUUUUGGUGAAUUUUGGUUUGAAUUUGUGAUUUGGUUUUUCAUUGGAGGGGUUUGAAUUCAAUUCCUUGGAAAAUGGGGGUUAUGUCGAGGAGGGUUUUGCCCAUUUGUGGUAAAGUCUGUUUCUUCUAUCCUUCCCUGCGGGCAAGGUCGAGACAGCCUGUGAAGUGGUACAAAAAUCUUUUUGCUGAUAUCUUCCCUCGGUCUCAGGUGUUUUAGAUGCCUUAUUGCAAUCAGAACCCUGGUUCAUUCAAUUAAGAGAUGAAGGAAGGACUCCACUUCACUUGAUUGCAUGAUUGGGCUAUCUUGAAGAGGUUCAGUACUUGUUAGGAAGACACAGUUCAGGUGCUAUUGCAAGGGACAACAAUGGCUUACUUCCUAUUCAUUUAGCAUCAAUUAAGGCCACAUGGAUGUUGUCCGGGCAUUGCUUCAGUAUUGGCCUGAUUCAAGGGAACUGCUCAAUUGUCAUGGUCAAAAUAUUCUUCAUGUUGCUGCCAAGAGCAGAGGACAUAACAUGGUUAGUUACAUUCUCCAAACUCCUGAGCUCGAAAAGCUUUAUAAACAUGAGGGGGAUAAGCAUGGAAACACACCCUUGCAUUUGGCCACCAUGGACUGGCAUCCAAAGAUUGUAUGCACACAUAGAGGAAGUGCAAUGCACAUUUGUUUUAUGUGCACAUAGGAAAACUGUAAUAUCAGUGAAAUUCAAUGCGACAAGUGUAAGGGAAAGGCACAUUGUACAAUGACAGAAAAUUUGGGACAUUUGAUAAUGCAACUCAAUUUUUCUUUUAAAUUUGACCUUGUAAACAAUUAUUAAUGAAUAUACUAGAAUCUUGAAUAAGAA